rnacentral:rRNA from 1 species
CCCUACGGGAGGCAGCAGUGGGGGAUAUUGCACAAUGGGGGAAACCCUGAUGCAGCGACGCCGCGUGGGUGAAGAAGUAUUUCGGUAUGUAAAGCCCUAUCAGCAGGGAAGAAAGAAGACGGUACCUGACUAAGAAGCCCCGGCUAACUACGUGCCAGCAGCCGCGGUAAUACGUAGGGGGCAAGCGUUAUCCGGAUUUACUGGGUGUAAAGGGAGCGUAGACGGCUGUGCAAGCCAGAUGUGAAAGCCCGGGGCUCAACCCCGGGACUGCAUUUGGAACUGUGUGGCUGGAGUGUCGGAGAGGG